GUUCCUUUUCAUCUUCGGCAGCCGGCCUUGGUGCCGGUCGGGCGCAUGUCAGGCGCGUGGGGGGAGGCUCGUGGCCUCCUUCCCUUCUUUUCCCCUCUCCCACUCUCCCUCUCUUUCUCUCUCUCUUUUAUUAUUUGUUGACAGAUGGGACAAGAGAGAAGGGGAGAUCAGCAACUUGAGAGAGCGAGGGCACGCACGGGGGACCUCAGGUCCACGGAUCCUGUGAUGCACGGCACUGUUUAAGGCACGCACGCACG
rnacentral:lncRNA from 1 species